rnacentral:rRNA from 1 species
GAUGAACGCUGGCGGCGUGCCUAAUACAUGCAAGUCGAGCGAACAGACUAUGAGCUUUCUCCUCUGACGUUAUCUGCUGACGUGUGAUUAACACGUGUAUAACCUACCUAUAAUUCUUGGAUAACUUCGUGAAACCGUAGCUAAUACCGUAUAAUAUAUUGAACCUCAUGGUUCUAUAUUUAAAGUCGUUUUUUCUUUCACUUAUAGAUGUUUCCGCGCCGCAUUAGCUAGUUGGUAAGGUAACGGCUUACCAAGGCAACGAUGCGUAGCCGACAUGAGAGGGAGAUAGGCCACACUGGAACUGAGAAACGGUAAAGACGCCUACGGGAGGCAGCAGUAGGGAAUCGUACGCAAUGGGCGAAAGCAUGACGGAGCAACGCCGCGUGAGUGAUGAAGGUCUUAGGAUCGUAAAACUCUGUUAGUAGGGAAGAAAAAAUGUGUAAGUAAAUAUGAACGUAUUGACGGUAACUAAUCAGAAAGCAACGGCUAACUACGUG